rnacentral:misc_RNA from 1 species
AUGAAUUCGGUCACUGGCCAUUUGCCGAGGAAAGAGAUAAUAAGAGGAAGGAAAUUUUCUACGAGGACCCUCAUCAAUCAAACCAAUUACGGACACUGUAAAUGGAGAGAGGUUUAACAUGUGUAGCAGCAUCUCAAUCAACAAGCCCCCUCUGCUUCUCGAGUCACACUUUCAUCCACAAGCAGCUUCUGUUACCUGUCAUUACCACUGAUGGGAAAGCUACCAUUACCAGUACAAGAAGGAAGCCCUUAGCUGUUAGGGCCUGGAAUGUUGGUACAAGAAGACAGACCUUAUCAGGUAAUUGGGAUGUUGCAAAUUUCUAUUCUUUUGCUACUUCCGCUUCAUCGCUCCCAAGAUUCGAGGAGCUAGAUAUGACCAACAUGCUCCUCCGUCAACGAAUCAUCUUCUUGGGUUCUCAGGUAGAUGAUGUGACAGCAGAUUUUAUCAUAAGCCAGCUCUUAUUCCUUGAUGCGGAAGACCCAACAAAAGACAUCAAGUUGUUUAUUAAUUCACCUGGUGGUUCUGUCACUGCAGGAAUGGGAAUAUAUGAUGCAAUGAAAUUGUGCAAGGCUGAUGUUUCAACUAUUUGCCUGGGGCUUGCUGCAUCUAUGGGAGCUUUUCUUCUUGCUUCUGGUUCCAAAGGCAAAAGGUUCUGCAUGCCCAAUGGGAGAGUGAUGAUCCAUCAGCCACUUGGAACUGCUGGAGGCAAAGUAAGUAUUUAAUUGCUGCUUAUGUUUUUAUUCUUUUGUCUAGGAGUCCUUAUACUAAGUGAUACAAAUGUUUACAAUCCAUAGACUUGAUAUUACAAUUUCUUCAAUUUGAAAUUCAAAGCAGUGAUAAUGUUACAAAUCCUUUCCCUUCCAAGCGAAGAGCUCUUAUGAUAUUCAACCUAAAACUUGACUCUCAGUCUCAGAAAGUGAAUUAUAUGAGGAUGAGGCUAUUUCCAACUAAAUUUACGUACAUGAAUGCUAUACCAAAAUGAUGCCUUUCUAUUUGGUAUCUUAAGUUCCCAUGAGAAGAUUUUGAAACAGGAAUGUUGCCAUUUGAUGCAAUUAUUUUUAGAAAGCUCAGUUGUCUGGUAUCAAAAAAUUUUUUCUUCCAUUGUCUUAUGAUGUUUUUCAAGUAUUGGUUCAAAGGGUUGGAGUUUAUACGUUGCCACUCUUGAGUUCUUUUUCAUGAUUCAUAUGAGUUGAUAGAGGUGGAAGGGGUGGUGGAUAACUUUCUUUGAUGUUUGGCUCUCACAGGUCUUCAUUUGUGCUGUUUCUGUUGUUUUCUUGGGCAAAUAACUAAUCUCAGUUAAAGAUUUGCUCUUUGAUGUGGUGGAUUUGGGAUUUGAAUAAGAGCAGUGUAGGUUUCCAGAAUUGAAUCCCUUUGGUAUGUUUUGUUGUGCUUGUAAAUUGAAAGGGUAAUUGCCAUGCCAACCCACUAGCACUUUGGUUAGGGUAGGUGGCAAUAUAGUUGGUCUUUGGUCAUAUUGUGUUUCCAAAAUUGUUUCUUGACCUUGGUUCAAGUAAAUAAUUUUGUGACAUUAGGAACCAAUCUCUUUGUAUUAAACACAAUGUUUUUUUAAGAAAAUGUGAACAUGUGAACAUUGGAAAAAUGUUGAACUUUUUGCAUUCUUUCCGAUCAGGUUGGCCUAUUUAGAUUUUCAAGCUAUAGAACUAUCUUUUAUGUAUGAAUGCCUAAUUAAGCCCAACUCACACAUACUUUUUUUUAUAGGCUACUGCUUUGAUUUGAUAAUGGGGCAAAAAGAAAAAGAGAGAGAGAAAAGAUGAAGAAACUUCCACUGAACUUUAGACCUUUGGAAUCAUUAGAUUUUCAAUAGCUAAAGAUGAAAACUCAUAAUUAUUUUUGGGGGUUGAAUAACCUUGAUUUUUGUAUCUUUUAAUUAACAAGUGUUGAUUUACAUUGUGUCAUCCUGGUACAAUUUGAUCCUCUAAAAGAUUCUGAACUUAUCCUUGCUUUUUUGCAUAAGCUUUAUUUCAGUAGUAUUCAGAGGUUUCAGCACAAUAUGGGUUUAUAUGUUGGUGUUGGAAGAAUGCUAAGUGGUAUUAAGGUGUUUUCUCAAAACUUCUUGACAUGUCUUCUUGAGCAAUUGUAUUAUUUGGUCUCAGGCAACAGAGAUGAGCAUACGGAUAAGAGAAAUGAAUUAUCACAAGAUUAAGCUUAACAAGAUACUGUCGAGAGCUACUGGGAAGCCUGUAGAGCAGAUUGAAGUUGACACUGAUCGUGAUAAUUUCAUGAAUGCUUGGGAAGCUAAAGAAUAUGGGCUGGUAGAUGCAGUCAUCGAUGAUGGAAAACCAGGACUGGUUGCGCCUCUUGCAGAUGCUUCACCUCCACCAAAGACCCGGGUGUGGGAUCUUUGGAAAGUUGAAGGGAGCAAGAAAGCUAGGAAAAAUCUGCCCUCAGAGCAGAAAAUUUUGGACAAUGGAUAUGUGGGGGUUCAAGGAGGUGAUGAGGAUAGAGGAACGGACCAGGAAAGGGAAGAACCUACUUCUACGUAAUAUUUGACUUUUCUUUUACCUCUCAAAGCAGUCUUGCCUUGCAUAAUUUGGAAUUAGUGAAGUUUCUGAGUAUAAAUUUUGAGAGAAAUGUAGGGAACAUGAUCUUUAUAAAUUUAACACAUUUAUAAGAACGUUCAAAUUUCCUUCAAAAUACUUGUGUUUUUGUGGAGAAUUUUCUAAAGCUCAGAUAACAUUUUAUCCG